rnacentral:rRNA from 1 species
UUAAGCGACUAAGCGUACACGGUGGAUGCCCUGGCAGUCAGAGGCGAUGAAGGACGUGCUAAUCUGCGAUAAGCGUCGGUAAGGUGAUAUGAACCGUUAUAACCGGCGAUUUCCGAAUGGGGAAACCCAGUGUGAUUCGUCACACUAUCAUUAACUGAAUCCAUAGGUUAAUGAGGCGAACCGGGGGAACUGAAACAUCUAAGUACCCCGAGGAAAAGAAAUCAACCGAGAUUCCCCCAGUAGCGGCGAGCGAACGGGGAGGAGCCCAGAGCCUGAAUCAGUGUGUGUGUUAGUGGAAGCGUCUGGAAAGGCGCGCGAUACAGGGUGACAGCCCCGUACACAAAAAUGCACAUAUUGUGAGCUCGAUGAGUAGGGCGGGACACGUGGUAUCCUGUCUGAAUAUGGGGGGACCAUCCUCCAAGGCUAAAUACUCCUGACUGACCGAUAGUGAACCAGUACCGUGAGGGAAAGGCGAAAAGAACCCCGGCGAGGGGAGUGAAAAAGAACCUGAAACCGUGUACGUACAAGCAGUGGGAGCACGCUUCGGCGUGUGACUGCGUACCUUUUGUAUAAUGGGUCAGCGACUUAUAUUCUGUAGCAAGGUUAACCGAAUAGGGGAGCCGAAGGGAAACCGAGUCUUAACUGGGCGUUAAGUUGCAGGGUAUAGACCCGAAACCCGGUGAUCUAGCCAUGGGCAGGUUGAAGGUUGGGUAACACUAACUGGAGGACCGAACCGACUAAUGUUGAAAAAUUAGCGGAUGACUUGUGGCUGGGGGUGAAAGGCCAAUCAAACCGGGAGAUAGCUGGUUCUCCCCGAAAGCUAUUUAGGUAGCGCCUCGUGAAUUCAUCUCCGGGGGUAGAGCACUGUUUCGGCAAGGGGGUCAUCCCGACUUACCAACCCGAUGCAAACUGCGAAUACCGGAGAAUGUUAUCACGGGAGACACACGGCGGGUGCUAACGUCCGUCGUGAAGAGGGAAACAACCCAGACCGCCAGCUAAGGUCCCAAAGUCAUGGUUAAGUGGGAAACGAUGUGGGAAGGCCCAGACAGCCAGGAUGUUGGCUUAGAAGCAGCCAUCAUUUAAAGAAAGCGUAAUAGCUCACUGGUCGAGUCGGCCUGCGCGGAAGAUGUAACGGGGCUAAACCAUGCACCGAAGCUGCGGCAGCGACACUAUGUGUCGUUGGGUAGGGGAGCGUUCUGUAAGCCUGUGAAGGUGUACUGUGAGGUAUGCUGGAGGUAUCAGAAGUGCGAAUGCUGACAUAAGUAACGAUAAAGCGGGUGAAAAGCCCGCUCGCCGGAAGACCAAGGGUUCCUGUCCAACGUUAAUCGGGGCAGGGUGAGUCGACCCCUAAGGCAAGGCCGAAAGGCGUAGUCGAUGGGAAACAGGUUAAUAUUCCUGUACUUGGUGUUACUGCGAAGGGGGGACGGAGAAGGCUAUGUUGGCCGGGCGACGGUUGUCCCGGUUUAAGCGUGUAGGCUGGUUUUCCAGGCAAAUCCGGAAAAUCAAGGCUGAGGCGUGAUGACGAGGCACUACGGUGCUGAAGCAACAAAUGCCCUGCUUCCAGGAAAAGCCUCUAAGCAUCAGGUAACAUCAAAUCGUACCCCAAACCGACACAGGUGGUCAGGUAGAGAAUACCAAGGCGCUUGAGAGAACUCGGGUGAAGGAACUAGGCAAAAUGGUGCCGUAACUUCGGGAGAAGGCACGCUGAUAUGUAGGUGAAGUCCCUCGCGGAUGGAGCUGAAAUCAGUCGAAGAUACCAGCUGGCUGCAACUGUUUAUUAAAAACACAGCACUGUGCAAACACGAAAGUGGACGUAUACGGUGUGACGCCUGCCCGGUGCCGGAAGGUUAAUUGAUGGGGUCAGCGCAAGCGAAGCUCUUGAUCGAAGCCCCGGUAAACGGCGGCCGUAACUAUAACGGUCCUAAGGUAGCGAAAUUCCUUGUCGGGUAAGUUCCGACCUGCACGAAUGGCGUAAUGAUGGCCAGGCUGUCUCCACCCGAGACUCAGUGAAAUUGAACUCGCUGUGAAGAUGCAGUGUACCCGCGGCAAGACGGAAAGACCCCGUGAACCUUUACUAUAGCUUGACACUGAACAUUGAGCCUUGAUGUGUAGGAUAGGUGGGAGGCUUUGAAGUGUGGACGCCAGUCUGCAUGGAGCCGACCUUGAAAUACCACCCUUUAAUGUUUGAUGUUCUAACGUUGACCCGUAAUCCGGGUUGCGGACAGUGUCUGGUGGGUAGUUUGACUGGGGCGGUCUCCUCCUAAAGAGUAACGGAGGAGCACGAAGGUUGGCUAAUCCUGGUCGGACAUCAGGAGGUUAGUGCAAUGGCAUAAGCCAGCUUGACUGCGAGCGUGACGGCGCGAGCAGGUGCGAAAGCAGGUCAUAGUGAUCCGGUGGUUCUGAAUGGAAGGGCCAUCGCUCAACGGAUAAAAGGUACUCCGGGGAUAACAGGCUGAUACCGCCCAAGAGUUCAUAUCGACGGCGGUGUUUGGCACCUCGAUGUCGGCUCAUCACAUCCUGGGGCUGAAGUAGGUCCCAAGGGUAUGGCUGUUCGCCAUUUAAAGUGGUACGCGAGCUGGGUUUAGAACGUCGUGAGACAGUUCGGUCCCUAUCUGCCGUGGGCGCUGGAGAACUGAGGGGGGCUGCUCCUAGUACGAGAGGACCGGAGUGGACGCAUCACUGGUGUUCGGGUUGUCAUGCCAAUGGCACUGCCCGGUAGCUAAAUGCGGAAGAGAUAAGUGCUGAAAGCAUCUAAGCACGAAACUUGCCCCGAGAUGAGUUCUCCCUGACUCCUUGAGAGUCCUGAAGGAACGUUGAAGACGACGACGUUGAUAGGCCGGGUGUGUAAGCGCAGCGAUGCGUUGAGCUAACCGGUACUAAUGAACCGUGAGGCUUAACCUU